AGCUCCAUCAAUGUCUCCCAGCCCAAGGUGCAGUGCUGCAUCUCUGGUCAGUUGUGAGUCUGAGAUGAAGCACUGUAGCUCGGGAAGGGAGGAGCUGCACAGCUGA
rnacentral:pre_miRNA from 11 species